AGUGAACGCUGGCGGUAGGCCUAACACAUGCAAGUCGAACGGCAGCACAGUAAGAGCUUGCUCUUACGGGUGGCGAGUGGCGGACGGGUGAGGAAUACAUCUGAAUCUACUUUUUCGUGGGGGAUAACGUAGGGAAACUUACGCUAAUACCGCAUACGACCUACGGGUGAAAGCAGGGGAUCUUCGGACCUUGCGCGAUUGAAUGAGCCGAUGUCGGAUUAGCUAGUUGGCGGGGUAAAGGCCCACCAAGGCGACGAUCCGUAGCUGGUCUGAGAGGAUGUUCAGCCACACUGGAACUGAGACACGGUCCAGACUCCUACGGGAGGCAGCAGUGGGGAAUAUUGGACAAUGGGCGCAAGCCUGAUCCAGCCAUACCGCGUGGGUGAAGAAGGCCUUCGGGUUGUAAAGCCCUUUUGUUGGGAAAGAAAAGCAGCAGGUUAAUACCCCGCUGUUCUGACGGUACCCAAAGAAUAAGCACCGGCUAACUUCGUG
rnacentral:rRNA from 1 species